GAUGAACGCUGGCGGCGUGCCUAAUACAUGCAAGUCGAGCGAACAGACGAGGAGCUUGCUCCUCUGACGUUAGCGGCGGACGGGUGAGUAACACGUGGAUAACCUACCUAUAAGACUGGGAUAACUUCGGGAAACCGGAGCUAAUACCGGAUAAUAUAUUGAACUGCAUGGUUCAAUAGUGAAAGACGGCUUUGCUGUCACUUAUAGAUGGAUCCGCGCCGCAUUAGCUAGUUGGUAAGGUAACGGCUUACCAAGGCAACGAUGCGUAGCCGACCUGAGAGGGUGAUCGGCCACACUGGAACUGAGACACGGUCCAGACUCCUACGGGAGGCAGCAGUAGGGAAUCUUCCGCAAUGGGCGAAAGCUUGACGGAGCAACGCCGCGUGAGUGAUGAAGGUCUUCGGAUCGUAAAACUCUGUUAUUAGGGAAGAACAAAUGUGUAAGUAACUAUGCACGUCUUGACGGUACCUAAUCAGAAAGCCACGGCUAACUACGUG
rnacentral:rRNA from 1 species